ensembl:lncRNA
CUCUGAGCCACACAGCAGAGAGUCCGGGCCUAGUCUCCACUGGGUCAAGAUGAAUUCAAGGAAGCUGGAUGUCAUGGUAACCCCAAGCAACAAACAUGAACCGAACACUCUACAGCUCCUAGAUCUGCUAUCCAAGGAGUUGAAGGGGACGGCACAUUAAGCCAUGUAAAGGAUGGGGACAAAGACCAAAUGUGUUCAACCACUGGGAUGCACAACGUCUCGGAACAUUAAAACAAGCAAGAAAUCAAACAAAGCCACAUCUGACUGGGAGAAGGCUUUUACGGGGCCCUCAGGAGGAGUUUGA